GCCGGUGUAGCUCAAUUGGUUAGAGUGCCUGAAAAGUAUUCAGCAGAUGGAGGUUCGAACCCUUUCGCCGGCU
rnacentral:tRNA from 1 species